rnacentral:rRNA from 1 species
GGUUAAGCGACUAAGCGUACACGGUGGAUGCCCUGGCAGUCAGAGGCGAUGAAGGACGUGCUAAUCUGCGAAAAGCGUCGGUAAGGUGAUAUGAACCGUUAUAGCCGGCGAUGUCCGAAUGGGGAAACCCAGUGCAAUUCGUUGCACUAUCGUUAACUGAAUACAUAGGUUAACGAGGCGAACCGGGGGAACUGAAACAUCUAAGUACCCCGAGGAAAAGAAAUCAACCGAGAUUCCCCCAGUAGCGGCGAGCGAACGGGGAGCAGCCCGGAGUCUGAAUCAGCUUGUGUGUUAGUGGAAGCGUCUGGAAAGUCGCAGGGUACAGGGUGAUACUCCCGUACACUAAAACACACAGGUUGUGAACUCGAAGAGUAGGGCGGGACACGUGGUAUCCUGUCUGAAUAUGGGGGGACCAUCCUCCAAGGCUAAAUACUCCUGACUGACCGAUAGUGAACCAGUACCGUGAGGGAAAGGCGAAAAGAACCCCGGCGAGGGGAGUGAAAAAGAACCUGAAACCGUGUACGUACAAGCAGUAGGAGCCCACUUGUUGGGUGACUGCGUACCUUUUGUAUAAUGGGUCAGCGACUUAUAUUCUGUAGCAAGGUUAACCGUAUAGGGGAGCCGCAGGGAAACCGAGUCUUAACUGGGCGUUAAGUUGCAGGGUAUAGACCCGAAACCCGGUGAUCUAGCCAUGGGCAGGUUGAAGGUUGGGUAACACUAACUGGAGGACCGAACCGACUAAUGUUGAAAAAUUAGCGGAUGACUUGUGGCUGGGGGUGAAAGGCCAAUCAAACCGGGAGAUAGCUGGUUCUCCCCGAAAGCUAUUUAGGUAGCGCCUCGUGAACUCAUCUUCGGGGGUAGAGCACUGUUUCGGCUAGGGGGUCAUCCCGACUUACCAACCCGAUGCAAACUACGAAUACCGAAGAAUGUUAUCACGGGAGACACACGGCGGGUGCUAACGUCCGUCGUGAAGAGGGAAACAACCCAGACCGCCAGCUAAGGUCCCAAAGUCAUGGUUAAGUGGGAAACGAUGUGGGAAGGCCCAGACAGCCAGGAUGUUGGCUUAGAAGCAGCCAUCAUUUAAAGAAAGCGUAAUAGCUCACUGGUCGAGUCGGCCUGCGCGGAAGAUGUAACGGGGCUAAACCAUGCACCGAAGCUGCGGCAGCGACACUAUGUGUUGUUGGGUAGGGGAGCGUUCUGUAAGCCGUUGAAGGUGGCCUGUGAGGGUUGCUGGAGGUAUCAGAAGUGCGAAUGCUGACAUAAGUAACGAUAAUGCGGGUGAAAAACCCGCACGCCGGAAGACCAAGGGUUCCUGUCCAACGUUAAUCGGGGCAGGGUGAGUCGACCCCUAAGGCGAGGCCGAAAGGCGUAGUCGAUGGGAAACAGGUUAAUAUUCCUGUACUCGGUGUUACUGCGAAGGGGGGACGGAGAAGGCUAUGUUGGCCGGGCGACGGUUGUCCCGGUUUAAGCAUGUAGGCGGAUGUUCCAGGUAAAUCCGGAACGUCACUAACGCUGAGGUGUGAUGACGAGGCACUACGGUGCUGAAGUGACAAAUGCCCUGCUUCCAGGAAAAGCCUCUAAGCAUCAGGUAACAUCAAAUCGUACCCCAAACCGACACAGGUGGUCAGGUAGAGAAUACCAAGGCGCUUGAGAGAACUCGGGUGAAGGAACUAGGCAAAAUGGUGCCGUAACUUCGGGAGAAGGCACGCUGAUGGUAAGUGAAGUGACUUGCUCAUGGAGCUGAAAUCAGUCGAAGAUACCAGCUGGCUGCAACUGUUUAUUAAAAACACAGCACUGUGCAAACACGAAAGUGGACGUAUACGGUGUGACGCCUGCCCGGUGCCGGAAGGUUAAUUGAUGGGGUUAUCCGUAAGGAGAAGCUCUUGAUCGAAGCCCCGGUAAACGGCGGCCGUAACUAUAACGGUCCUAAGGUAGCGAAAUUCCUUGUCGGGUAAGUUCCGACCUGCACGAAUGGCGUAAUGAUGGCCAGGCUGUCUCCACCCGAGACUCAGUGAAAUUGAACUCGCUGUGAAGAUGCAGUGUACCCGCGGCAAGACGGAAAGACCCCGUGAACCUUUACUAUAGCUUGACACUGAACACUGGUCCUUGAUGUGUAGGAUAGGUGGGAGGCUUUGAAGUGUGGACGCCAGUCUGCAUGGAGCCAUCCUUGAAAUACCACCCUUUAAUGGCUGGUGUUCUAACGUGGGCCCCUGAUCGGGGUUGCGGACAGUGUCUGGUGGGUAGUUUGACUGGGGCGGUCUCCUCCUAAAGAGUAACGGAGGAGCACGAAGGUCAGCUAAUCCUGGUCGGACAUCAGGAGGUUAGUGCAAUGGCAUAAGCUGGCUUGACUGCGAGCGUGACGGCGCGAGCAGGUGCGAAAGCAGGUCAUAGUGAUCCGGUGGUUCUGAAUGGAAGGGCCAUCGCUCAACGGAUAAAAGGUACUCCGGGGAUAACAGGCUGAUACCGCCCAAGAGUUCAUAUCGACGGCGGUGUUUGGCACCUCGAUGUCGGCUCAUCACAUCCUGGGGCUGAAGUAGGUCCCAAGGGUAUGGCUGUUCGCCAUUUAAAGUGGUACGCGAGCUGGGUUUAGAACGUCGUGAGACAGUUCGGUCCCUAUCUGCCGUGGGCGCUGGAGAAUUGAGGGGGGCUGCUCCUAGUACGAGAGGACCGGAGUGGACGCAUCACUGGUGUUCGGGUUGUCAUGCCAAUGGCAUUGCCCGGUAGCUAAAUGCGGAAGAGAUAAGUGCUGAAAGCAUCUAAGCACGAAACUUGCCCCGAGAUGAGUUCUCCCUGACCCUUUAAGGGUCCUGAAGGAACGUUGAAGACGACGACGUUGAUAGGCCGGGUGUGUAAGCGCAGCGAUGCGUUGAGCUAACCGGUACUAAUGAACCGUGAGGCUUAACCUU